rnacentral:rRNA from 1 species
AACGAACGCUGGCGGCAUGCCUAACACAUGCAAGUCGAACGAGACCUUCGGGUCUAGUGGCGCACGGGUGCGUAACGCGUGGGAACCUGCCCUUAGGUUCGGAAUAACUCCCCGAAAGGGGUGCUAAUACCGGAUAAUGUCUUCGGACCAAAGAUUUAUCGCCUUUGGAUGGGCCCGCGUUGGAUUAGCUAGUUGGUAGGGUAAAAGCCUACCAAGGCGACGAUCCAUAGCUGGUCUGAGAGGAUGCUCAGCCACACUGGGACUGCGACACGGCCCAGACUCCUACGCGAGGCAGGAGUGGGGAAUAUUGGACACUGGGCGAAAGCCUGAUCCAGCCAUGCCGCGUGAGUGAUGAAGGCCUUAGGGUUGUAAAGCUCUUUUACCCGGGAUGAUAAUGACAGUACCGGGAGAAUAAGCUCCGGCUAACUCCGUG